UAUAAUUUUUUUUAACUUGCCGCUUUAUUUGAAAAAUUAUUUAAUUAAAUAAAUUAAAUUUUAUUUAAUGUUUAGAUAAAAUUUUUUUAAUAAUUAAUUUAGUUAAAUAAAAUUUAAUUAAAAUUAAAUGUCAAUUCUACUUUCGUUCAUAUCUGCGAGUCAAUACAUAUUUAUACACGAUAGACAUACUUAUUUAUUUGUGUCAUGAUUGUUGUGCAUAGCGGGUAGUUGGUAUAUCGGUGCAGGAACCAUAUAUGGAUACAUAUUUAUACAGAAAAUGGAAACAAUAAAAAAUAUGUACUAAGUAUAUAUAUACAACUAGUGUGAGUAGUAAGCAAAACGUAGUUGAAACGUAGAAAGGCCUUUAAUAUUCAAAAAAGAUGUAAAUUUGUUAGCGCUUGUAUGUAUUUAUUUAGGAAUAGUUGGAACGCCAGAAUUACAAUAAACAAAGCAAAUAAAGAAAUACUAAACUAAAUUAUAAAUAGUGUCUACAAGACAGGCAAAAAAUAAUUAAAAUACAAAUAUGCAAAUUUAAAAUGAAAAAAAAAAAAAUAAUAAUAAAAUGAAAUGGAAAUUAAAUAAAAAUAAAAUUUAAUGAAAAUAAAAUGAGGGGAAAAUGGAAAUAAAAAUGAAAAUAAAUAUAAAAUGAAUAUAAAAAAUCGGUGAAAAUUAAAAUGUUUUAAAAUAAACACACAUGUAUGUUAUAUGUGUGCAUGUACAUAAAUUCAUGGGAAGCUGAAAAGCCGAUUUAUUUUUUACUUGGCUUAUAGAAGAUCAUACAUGCAGAGUACACACAAAAAACUUGUUAAAAUGCUGAUUAAACCGAAAAAAUAAACAUCAAUUACUAUUAUAUAUACUACCAAAUAUAUAUUAUAUAUGAAAAAAAAUUAAUAAAAAAUAAUUAAAAAUAUUUAAAAAAUAUUAAAAAAGAAAACCAUUAAAAAAAAAUUAGAAAUAAUAAACAAUUAAUGCUUAGCAUGUAAAUGGCAAUUUCGCAACAAUAAAAAAACAAUUUAAUAUGUAAUUAAAAGCAAAAAAAAAUUACUAAAUUUAAUUUAGCAUUACACUGUAAUAUUAAAAAAGAAAACUAUAUAUUGUAUUGUUAAAAAAGCAAACACAAAAAUGUUAAAAAAAAUACUUGAAAAUUGUUAGCAAUGUGGUAGUGAUUAGUUAUAAGGCAUUACUAAAUAUAAAAGCUAAAAAAAAAAUAAUAAAAAAAUUAAAUUAAAUAAUUAUGUUAAAAAUAUAUAUACAAUAUAAAUGUAUUAAUAUAUAUUUACAUUGCAUAAAAGAAUGUUUUUCAAAGAAAAUUAAAAAAAGAGGAAAAAAUAUUUUAAGAAACCUCUUCAAAACGUUGUAAGAAACAGUAAAAAACAGUAAAUAAUAAAAAUAAGUACAGUAAAGACUCACCAAACAUUCCAAAAGUAAGCACCAAACCAACUAAAGAUAUCAUUUGCAAAAACAAAUAGUAAAAUAGCAAGAAAAAUGUAUAACCAAAUUAUUUCUAAGUGCAGCUGAAAAACAAUUUCAGUUUAUAACAAAAGAAAGCAAAUCCAUAGAGUACAGUAAGCAAGAAAAUAUUAAACCCAAGACCUACAUACAUACAUAACGUCAACUAAAAUGCAAAAUAACGUAAUAUCACUUAUCAUAAGUUUACAGGCGAAGGAAAAACGAUUUAAUAGAAACCACUCAUACUGAAACAAAAUUUGAGUUUCGGUUAUAAAAUGGGUAUAUAUUGGUUAUAAAAUGGUUAUAUAUUGUUUAUGAAAUGGUUAUAUAUUGGUUAUCAUACACUAAUACCGAAACUGGUAAUAUAUCGAUUAUUAUAUCUGACAGCGAUUUUCAAUUUGUUUUUGAUGUUCCGCUAUUUUGCAUUUUAGGUGACGAUAUAUAAUAUAAAGCAUACAUACCUACAAUAAGGCAAUGCAAUAUUUGUAAAACUCGUCAAGAGAAUGUGUUAAAUAUGUAUUACUAUAGAGACAACACAGUUUGAAAACUUAAAAUUAAAAAAUAUUAAACUACAGUUGCAAACAAAAUGUCACACUCAAAUUCGCACUUGCCCACUAAGCAUAAAAUUUAUUUUAAAAUAAUAUUAUUUUAACUGAACUUCAAAAUUGCUUUCAAAAAUAUUACCAAAAAAAGGUAAAAGCUAUGACAGAUGAGCGUUUGACAGCUGUCGAAUAACUCAAUAAAAAAUGACUAAGUGAAUUUCAAAAAUUCAAUAUGGUAUUAAAAAAAUUUCAAAAAUUUUGAAAGGCAUACAGUUUGACAUAUGAACGAACGUUUGACAGCUGUCAAAUAACUCAAUAUAUAUUUCAAACUUUCAAUAUUUAGUUAAAAUAAUGCCAAACCACUUGCUGAUACACCCUAUACAAGUAUAAGCCAUCAAGAAUUCAGAGAACAAUAUUUACCUCGCAUUCACAUACAGUUAGCAGCCAUUAUUAAAUGAAAGUUUCUUAAAUCUCACCCUCUAACUUCCACUUUAAUAUGCAGCAAUCCUUCUUUACGUACAAUUUUGGUUUUCCUUUCCAUGAAUCCUUCUUUAUAGGUUAGAUCUUGACAUUAUAUUGAAUAAGACACUUCUGUGUCGUCAACAGCUUCAAUAAAUUAAUAUUAUUGCAGGUAUAGAUUUUACCAUUUUCAAGCCAAUUAAGAAGGCGACCUUCUUUGAUGUCAAAAAAUUGUAGUUAAAGGUUAUCAUACUCCAUAUCCAUAUUAACUUCGUAUAUACUACCCACUUUCUAGCUCACAUAUUCGAGUUUUACGAAGUUUAGCAAAAGGUUCCCACAGUUUUCAUACAGAAGUGCUCAGAAAUAACAAAUAAAGACAUGUUUUUGUUUUAGUCUCCAAAACUUUUAACGCAAAACCCAUUUUCGAAAGAGUUAUGUACUAGAAAAACACACUACACAAAUUACCACAGUCUUUUUUUCUUUUAUCUCUGACAUCCUUUAAACACUUUUUGUAUAAAGUAUGUCUUAAGAGCGACAACUUCAAAAUUACGUAAAAGUUAUUGAGAUGGUUUUCACUAUGUUAUUUUUUGAGAGCGUUGCUAUGGCAUUUAGUUUUCAUUUCUCGACGAGGACGGCUCUUUGACUUCUCCCAUUCCAUGGAGGUACUUUUUGAAGUAUCCGUGACCGGAUAACAGCUGGUGUAAAAGUCGACUUCUCCAAAUUUACGGCUUGUCCAUAAGUUUAAGUAUUUUAAUGGUCUGGUCAUCGUAGAUGAUGUUCCACAAGUCUGGACUUAAAAUCAAUCCUUUUGCUGCUCCUAACGUGAUCUCUAUCUAUCGUGAUCCCACCCUAGUUUUGUACAGUAGUGUUCUGUUACUAAGGUAGUUUCGCAGCACAACUCUGAGCUUUUUUCGAGAGCGUCGAUCAUAUCUACCCAUCUAGCGCUGUUGAAGGCGUUUCGGACUUCUAAAUUCGCCAGCAACACUAUUCCUUAGUAUUUAUGCCAUCUACGCGGUGCGGCUUCUUAACUAAACUUUCAAUUACGCAUUUUAUACUCCAGUUUCGUUGCUAGCCUCUUCGGAUUAGCACCAGCCGUUGCUUUUUCCAGGGUUCAGAGAAUAAUCUGGCUUCGAGGCAGGCGUUGUACAUAGUUAUUAGUACUGCCGAUCGCUCUGCAGCGAUCAUUUUCAAGAUUUCUGCUGGAAUCCUGUCCGGGCCGGGUGAUUUGUUGGCCUUGAGCCUAGCAGUGGCUAAUUGCAGCUAUUCGAGGGUAAACUGGGGGACUUGUGGAAAUCUUAGUGUCUGUUCUGAAUCACUAGACCUUUUUUAGUACGUGAGGUGCGUUUACGAUGUGAUCCAUUUGGCAGUGGUUAAGUCAAUUGGUUUUGCUCAAGAGCCGAGUUUCUUCAUCACUAUUCUAUUCCCAAGUACCCAAUAACGCGUUCGUAAAAAUUGCACAGUGUAAACCAAACAUUAGUUUCACCAAAAACACAUUUGAAUUUUCAAAACCACAAAGCAAAUAUUAUUUAAAUCUCAAACAUAAAUUAAGACGUUUUUCGCACGAAAAAAAAACAAUGUGUUCAUUCAUUUUUAAGUAAAAUUACGAACACUGCUUUGAUUUAAAUGUUCAAAUACACAACACUGAGCGCUUAAAGCUCACAAAUACCAGAUGUGAAAAAAUAACGAUACAGAAAAUAAGUGAAAUUUAAUUACGUAAUAUAACUAUGAAAGACCAGUAUUUCACCAACCUAUAGUCAGUGCACCUUAAAAUUAUUCAAUUCAACUAAAGAACUAAUAAAUUAUGUAAUAACUGAAAUAUGAAAUUUAAUAAAUUUUUAGCAGCUACAGUUGGACAGCACAGUCUGAACAAAAAAAAUAAAGCCCACUUUUUUAUUUGUUAUGUUUCUAAAUAAAUUCAAAACGCGUAAAUAUUCAUGAGAAAUAGUAUUAUAUAUAUAAAAAUAAAAUAAAUAUAGACUGAUUACAAGUUUACGCCGAAAAAAUACAUAAAUAAUGCAAAUGCAACUAAUAAAAUGGAAAUAAAUAAAUUAAAAUUAAAUUAUUGAUGAAAGAGUUCAAAAAUUAAAUUUUAAUUGUUUAAAAAUAACACUGAAUAUAAAAUAAAAAAAAUACAAAAAUUAAAAAGCCAUAAAAAAUUAAUUGCUCCAUAAUUUUCAAACAGACUGUAAAAAAUUGAUAACAGAAAUUUUUAAAGUAAAAAAAUAUUAAAAAUUCUAUUUUAAUUUCAGAUACACUGAGAUCUUUAAGGUCAGAAAAUAUUAAAAAUACAAUUUCGAAUUUCGAUUGCUUUAUUUCGUUUCAAAAACCUCAGAUUGUAGGUGCAAAAUGGUGUGCGACUUGGCUGAAAAACUUGACUUUGUUCUAAAAAGUUACGAAUAUUAAUUUUUUCACCUAAUGUAAAUAUAAAAUAUUAAAAAGGCCGUACUUCAAUCCAUAAAAAAUAAUAGCGCAAAAUUAAUGAUGUUUGCAUAAUUUUCGCACAUACUGUAACAAAUUUGACUAAAAGCUUUAAAGUCAAAAAUAUUAAAAAUAUAUUUUUAAAAUUCAAUUGCAGCAUUCCGUUGCAAAAACGUCAAAUUAAGGGUGCAAAAUGGUGUGCGACUUGGCUAAAACUUAUAAAUUUUAUCUGAAAAGUUUCGAAUACUGUUUGCAUACUUUUCGAACACACUGUAACAAGUUUGACUGAGAUCUUUAAAGUCAAAAUUGAUUAAAAAGUCAUUUUCAAAUUCUAUUGCUCUGUUUCGUUUCAAAAACGUCAAAUUGUGGGUGCAAAAUUGUGUGCGACUUGGCUAACACAUAUAAAUUUGUUCUGAAAAGUUUCUGUUUCACAAAAUGCUCAAUGAAAAACAAGUAAGUUACAAAAACAACCAAGAAUGUUAGUGUGGAUAAUUAAUAUUAAAAAAUUUUGCACGAUUUGUGGAAAAGGUUUUAGACUAUACUAAAUAUAAUAAUUAGGUUUUUCUUUGAAAUACAACAAAUAUUUCCCGUUUCUCUCUCUUUCUUCGAUAUAAAUUUUACUUAUCUUAUUGAUUUUUCUUUGUGGAAUUAUUACUUCAAUUUUUGUAUUUCGCUUCAAAAACACCAGACAAGAAAGAAUGGUGUGAAACUUUGCUAAGAAAAAGUAAGCAGAUUGUUACACAAAAUGCUCAAUGAAAUAAAAGUAAUUUUAACAAGAACAAUAAGUUCAAGCCAAGAAUGUAGAAUAGCUUACCAGAAUUCAAUAAGUGUGUGCAAUUUAUGAAAAAGGUUGUGGACUUGACUAAAUAUAAAAAUUCGAUUUUUGUUUGAAAAACUACAAAUAUAUUCAGUUUUUUUUUUUCCUUCAAAAUAAAUUUUACUUAACUUAUUGAUGUUUUAGUGUGGAGUUAUCUCUUAAAUUUCUGUACUUCGCUGCAAAAACGCCUGACGUGUAAGAAUGGUGUGAGACUUUGGUAAACACAUAAAGUUUAUUGCUCAAUGAAAUUAAAGUAAUUUUAAUAAAACCAAUAAUGUCAAGCCAAGAGAGUUAAAAUUGAUUAUCAGUAUUCAAAAGCUUAGUACAAUUUGAGGAAAAGGUUGUGGACUUGACUAAAUAUAAUAAGUCGAUUUUUGUUCAGGUUUUCUCAUUUCCUUCGAAAUAAAUUUUACUUGUUUUAUUGCAGCUUUUUUGUGGAAUUUUCACUUCAAUUUCUGCAUUUUGCUUUAAAAACACCAGACGUGGAAGAAUGGUGUGAGACUUAGCUAAAAAACAUGACUUUAUUCUAAAAAGUAUGGGAUGUUGAUGGAUGGGAUUCAGAAAUACUGCAUGAAAUAAAAGUAAUUUUAGGGAAGACCCUUUAUACUUUUCUUAAGGUAUGCAAAAACAGAUUAUCAGUAUUAAAAAAUUUAGUUCUCGCACCGUUUAUGGAAUAGGUUACGGACUUUGCUAAAUAAUUUGACUUUUUCUUAAAAAUACUUUUUUUUAGUAAAUCGUAUAUAUAAUUUUUAAAUUUUUUUAGAAAUAUAUUAUCAUCUCUCUUUGUUCCAUAUUCAUCUUCAAUGACUCACAUAUCAACUAACCACAUAUACAUAUACCUAUAUAUAAAUAUAAUGGAUUGUAUUUAAACAUAUUUCGCUUUAAGCCUAAAUAACCAACUUGUUGUUGUUGCCUGUAUACAAUGAACGAAUCAAACGAAAUAAAACAGAAAUUCUAAAACGUAAAAACCGAAAAAGAUUUACCUCAUGGGAUGUGAGUCAGCAAAAUCAUGCAAUUAUUCACUACCUAACCACAAAAAUUAAAUUAAAUAAAACAAAAAAUAAAUAAAAUAUGUAUGUAAAUCACAAAGGAAAAAUUAUUAAAAGUUACCUAAAAAGUAAAUAAAAAAAU